rnacentral:rRNA from 1 species
CCUACGGGAGGCAGCAGUGGGGAAUAUUGGACAAUGGGCGAAAGCCUGAUCCAGCCAUGCCGCGUGUGUGAAGAAGGCCUUCGGGUUGUAAAGCACUUUCAGUGGGGAAGAAAGCCUUGGGGCUAAUACCCUCGAGGAAGGACAUCACCCACAGAAGAAGCACCGGCUAACUCCGUGCCAGCAGCCGCGGUAAUACGGAGGGUGCGAGCGUUAAUCGGAAUUACUGGGCGUAAAGCGCGCGUAGGCGGUCUGAUAAGCCGGUUGUGAAAGCCCCGGGCUCAACCUGGGAACGGCAUCCGGAACUGUCAGGCUAGAGUGCAGGAGAGGAAGGUAGAAUUCCCGGUGGAGCGGGGAAAUGCGUAGAGAUCGGGAGGAAUACCAGUGGCGAAGGCGGCCUUCUGGACUGACACUGACGCUGAGGUGCGAAAGCGUGGGUAGCAAACAGGAUUAGAUACCCUGGUAGUC